CUGUUGUUCUGGAUCUGACAAACUCUGCUGCUAGGACCCAAACCUUUGGAGACCCCACCAGCAUUUAACACGUAGGAUCCCUGGACCAAACAUGCCUUCUUCCACAACAAGGCCCUGAAGCCUGUUGGCCCCUCCUCAUUGCAGUUCCAGGCAGAACCAAACCAGUUUGUUGGUGAUCUGACUGCUUCAUGGUCAGCUGGAUCGUCACAGGAGACCUCUUCGCCUCGCAAGCUCCGGAAGAAACACACUAUACUAUACCUGCACCACACAAGAAUUCCUGUGGCAGACUUUGCACCUGACACACGAGGCCUUUUAGCCUUUAGGGUAGCUGGAUCACAUUGUCUCUCUGUUACAUCAAGGUACCAUAUCCAGGAAGAUAAAGGUCAUUGAGCCAUGCUGUAAUAAUUGUCAGCACCAAAGGAUACUACAGCGGGGGAGUCAGAGUCGAAGCAGGGGUCAAAAAAACCAGGAGAACGGAAUAUCUACGGUACAAAGGGAACAGGCACCUGUAGGGAUUCGGACAGCGAGGCGGAAGCUUCAGGGCUGAGCAAUGUCUUGCUGGAAAGGUGGAGGG
rnacentral:lncRNA from 1 species